rnacentral:rRNA from 1 species
UAUUGGACAAUGGUGGGAACCCUGAUCCAGCGACGCCGCGUGAGUGAAGAAGUAUCUCGGUAUGUAAAGUUCUAUCAGAAGGGAAGAAGAAAUUACGGUAACGCAGUAAGAAGCCCCGGCUAACUACGUGCCAGCAGCCGCGGUAAUACGUAGGGGGCAAGCGUUAUCCGGAAUUACUGGGUGUAAAGGGAGCGUAGACGGUGAUGUAAGUCUGGAGUGAAAGGCAGGGGCCCAACCCCCGGACUGCUCUGGAAACUAUGUGACUGGAGUGCAGGAGAGGUGAGCGGAAUUCCUAGUGUAGCGGUGAAAUGCGUAGAUAUUAGGAGGAACACCAGUGGCGAAGGCGGCUCACUGGACUGUAACUGACGUUGAGGCUCGAAAGCGUGGGGAGCAAACAGG